CCUACGGGAGGCAGCAGUGAGGAAUAUUGGUCAAUGGUCGGGAGACUGAACCAGCCAAGCCGCGUGAGGGAGGAAGGUACAGAGUAUCGUAAACCUCUUUUGUCAGGGAACAAAGGCGGGGACGUGUCCCCGGAUGAGUGUACCUGAAGAAAAAGCAUCGGCUAACUCCGUGCCAGCAGCCGCGGUAAUACGGAGGAUGCGAGCGUUAUCCGGAUUUAUUGGGUUUAAGGGGUGCGCAGGCGGUCUGUUAAGUCAGCGGGCAAAGCCCGGGGCUCAACCCCGGCCCGCCGUUGAAACUGGCAGUCUCGAGUUGGAGAGAAGUAUGCGGAAUGCGCGGUGUAGCGGUGAAAUGCAUAGAUAUCGCGCAGAACUCCGAUUGCGAAGGCAGCAUGCCGGCUCCACACUGACGCUGAGGCACGAAAGCGUGGGUAUCGAACAGGAUUAGAUACCCUGGUAGUC
rnacentral:rRNA from 1 species